rnacentral:rRNA from 1 species
UACGGAGGGUGCAAGCGUUAUCCGGAUUCACUGGGUUUAAAGGGUGCGUAGGUGGGCAGGUAAGUCAGUGGUGAAAUCUCCGGGCUUAACUCGGAAACUGCCAUUGAUACUAUCUGUCUUGAAUACCGUGGAGGUUAGCGGAAUAUGUCAUGUAGCGGUGAAAUGCUUAGAUAUGACAUAGAACACCAAUUGCGAAGGCAGCUCGCUACACAUAUAUUGACUCUGAGGCACGAAAGCGUGGGGAUCAAACAGG